ensembl:misc_RNA Metazoa_SRP Metazoan signal recognition particle RNA
GCCGGGCGCAGUGGUGGGUGCCUGUGGCCCCAGCUACUCGGGAGGCUGAGGUGGAAGGAUCGCUUGAGCCCAGGAGUUCUGGGCUGCAGUGCGCUAUGCCGAUCAGGUGUCCGCACUAAGUUCGGCAUCAAUAUGGUGACCUCCCAGGAGUGGGGGGCCACCAGGUUGCCUAAGGGCCACCAGGGGCCCAGGUCAGAAAUGGAGCAGGUCAAAACUCCAGUGCUGAUCGGUAGUGGGAUCGCACCUGUGAAUAGCCACUGCACUCCCACCUGGGCAACAUAGGGAGACACCAUCUCUA